GACGUAGGGUCCAAGCGUUGUCCGGAUUUACUGGGCGUAAAGAGCGCGUAGGCGGUCUUGUAAGUGUGAAGUGAAAUCUCCAGGGCUCAACCCGGAAACUGCUUUACAUACUGCAAGACUAGAGUGAUGCAGAGGUUUGUGGAAUUCCUGGUGUAACGGUGAAAUGUGUUGAUAUCAGGAGGAACACCCAUGGCGAAGGCAGCAAACUGGGCAUCAACUGACGCUGAGGCGCGAAAGCGUGGGUAGCAAACGGAGU
rnacentral:rRNA from 1 species